rfam:Clostridiales bacterium CHKCI006 isolate CHKC6 genome assembly, contig: {contig134}
CGAAGGGGUAGAGGCGCGAUGAUUAAGAGUAGCCUGAAGGAGACCGAAAGUCGAUGAAUUCAGGAGAAAGGAUGAGUCGCCGAAGUCAGUGAGUCAAAUCACUGGCUGGGGGCAUAUUUAAGAGAUAUGUCACUGUCUUUAUGACUGCCAAUCAUAAAGGAGCACUAUCUUAAGG